rnacentral:rRNA from 1 species
GACGAACGCUGGCGGCGUGCCUAGUACAUGCAAGUUGAGCGCUGAAGGUUGGUACUUGUACCAACUGGAUGAGCAGCGAACGGGUGAGUAACGCGUGGGGAAUCUGCCUUUGAGCGGGGGACAACAUUUGGAAACGAAUGCUAAUACCGCAUAAAAACUUUAAACACAAGUUUUAAGUUUGAAAGAUGCAAUUGCAUCACUCAAAGAUGAUCCCGCGUUGUAUUAGCUAGUUGGUGAGGUAAAGGCUCACCAAGGCGAUGAUACAUAGCCGACCUGAGAGGGUGAUCGGCCACAUUGGGACUGAGACACGGCCCAAACUCCUACGGGAGGCAGCAGUAGGGAAUCUUCGGCAAUGGACGAAAGUCUGACCGAGCAACGCCGCGUGAGUGAAGAAGGUUUUCGGAUCGUAAAACUCUGUUGGUAGAGAAGAACGUUGGUGAGAGUGGAAAGCUCAUCAAGUGACGGUAACUACCCAGAAAGGGACGGCUAACUACGUG